UACGGGAGGCAGCAGUGGGGAAUAUUGCACAAUGGGCGCAAGCCUGAUGCAGCCAUGCCGCGUGUAUGAAGAAGGCCUUCGGGUUGUAAAGUACUUUCAGUCGUGAGGAAGGUGUUAAGGUUAAUAACCUUAGCAAUUGACGUUAGCGACAGAAGAAGCACCGGCUAACUCCGUGCCAGCAGCCGCGGUAAUACGGAGGGUGCGAGCGUUAAUCGGAAUUACUGGGCGUAAAGGGCACGCAGGCGGUUAAUUAAGUUGGAUGUGAAAUCCCCGGGCUUAACCUGGGAAUGGCAUUCAAGACUGGUUAGCUAGAGUCUUGUAGAGGGGGUAGAAUUCCAUGUGUAGCGGUGAAAUGCGUAGAGAUGUGGAGGAAUACCGGUGGCGAAAGGCGGCCCCUGGACAAAAGGACUGACGCUCAUGUGCGAAAAGCGUGGGGAGCAAAACAGGGAUUAGAUACC
rnacentral:rRNA from 1 species